AUCUUUCUGGUUCAUGAGUAUGAUGAUUGGUGCGUUCACGGACCCUCCGUGAAAGGCGCAGCCCUCUCCUUGUUACGCUCUGCGCCUCAGCCCUCUGACC
rnacentral:ncRNA from 11 species